rnacentral:rRNA from 1 species
UGCGUAGGGGUGCGAGCGUUAAUCGGAAUUACUGGGCGUAAAGCGUGCGCAGGCGGUGAUGUAAGACCGAUGUGAAAUCCCCGGGCUUAACCUGGGAACUGCAUUGGUGACUGCAUUGCUGGAGUAUGGCAGAGGGGGGUGGAAUUCCACGUGUAGCAGUGAAAUGCGUAGAGAUGUGGAGGAACACCGAUGGCGAAGGCGGCUCACUGGCCCGGUACUGACGCUGAGACGCGAAAGCGUGGGGAGCAAACAGG